CUGGUUUCAAGGGAGCUAAACAGUAAUAACAGUUACAUCAGAAGCACGCAUAGCAUGAGCUACACUAUAAGUGUCUGAAAUGUGGCCAGUACAUGCUGAUCCAUCAACAAUUUAUAUCAUCAUACAAAAUAAAGGAGAAGCAAAGAAAAAGGAGCAUUGGAUAGUUACCGCACAAAACGAACUCUUGAUAAUAUGUUCAGAAGUAGCAGAGGGGUGCAGAACGGACGAAUGUUGAAGACCUAAAAAGGCAUCCUUAAUAUGUGUCACCAGCCUGACAUCCUCAACAACCUGUUCAAAGAAGAGAGAAAGCAGAAAAGAAAACAAAAGAAAAUAAGAAUCAGAAGUCAUGCAAAGUCCUAAUUGCUCACAUGAACAAACAAGAAAAGGAUAUUCAAAUUUUUAUGUGUGCGAGUAUAAACUCCAAAGCACAAGCAACUAUGCAUCAAAUUGUUCUU
rnacentral:lncRNA from 1 species